GUGCUUGCUUUGGCAGUACACGUACUGAAAUUGAGCAAUACAGAGAUUAGCAUGGCCCCUUUGCAAGGGUGAUAUCCAAAUUUGUGAGGUGUUCCAUAUAUUG
rnacentral:snRNA from 1 species